rnacentral:rRNA from 1 species
CCUGAGAAACCCAAAAGAUCGAAUGGGGAGAUUCAUCGUCAGCGAUUUUGGUACGUGUGCGGUUCGCGAUGCCGCGAGAUUUCGGUCUCGCUGGUACGCGUCCGUAUGUUUUUAUUGCCUGAAUCGUCGGCGUGCACUUCUCCCCUAGUAGGACGUCGCGACCCGUUGGGUGUCGGUCUACGGCCCGGAUGGUAGCCUGUCACGUGUGCGCUUCACGGCGUUACGCGGGGCAGACCCCCGUGUGCCUGAUCGGCUGCCCGGCGGUACUCGCACGGUAUCUGGCCGCAAAUAUUCGAACUGCGUCCGGCCCGUCGCAAGCGAGGCAAGUGUUCCCGGCUGUACGGAUCUAAAGCCGUCACCGGGCCUUGCCAGCUGUUGGCUGACGGUGUCCUAGGACUGGCUAAAAUAAUUAUGAUACCGGUCGGCGACGCUACUGCUUUGGGUACUUUCAGGACCCGUCUUGAAACACGGA